UCCAGCCAGGAACAUCUGAAUCCCACUGCACCCCCACUCUGGUAUCCAAGGACACCUUAGACUCUACAAGGUCUACGAAGGUCACUGAGUCACUACAUGACUCCACUUCUGCCAUGUCCCUUGCCAGUUCAUACGCAGACUGUCUCUGCCUGCAACAGCUCCCCAUCUGGUCUCCCCUCCUGCACUGCUCCCUCGAUUCACGCCCCCCACAGCCAGAGUGACCUUCCUCAGCAGACAGAUCCAAUCAUGUCACCCUUCUGCUUAACAUCCUUUAAGCCUCCCCACCUCCAAAGCAAGGUCCAAAGAGCCUGAGCAGAGCCUUCCAGACAGCCUGCAGGAGGUCUGGUUCCUGCUCCCCUCUCCAUGUGCCUCUCUUUCAUUUCUUGUACAUUAUGCUCCGGUCAUGAUGAAUGACUUAUAGUCCCCUUGGCCAGGCUUCCCUGUUGUCUCCUUCAUGCUUUCACCAGUGUUGAUUCCUCUUCCUAACUUUUCGCAUGACUAACUAACUCCUACUGGUCCUUCAGUGCUCAGCUCCUAGUCACCAAUUCUGGAAGUCUCCCAUGGCCUCCCCAUCCCCUCCCUCUGUGCUCCCACAGCACCCUGUGCUUUCCUCUCUCAUGGCACUUCUCCUGCUCUUCAGGAAUUGGCUGUUCGCUGGCCUGUCUCCCCACUAGGCUUUGGGGGCCUUGAGGACUGGUACCGAGUCUUACCUGUGUGUUCCCAGUACCUACAGGCCAGUCAGUGCUCAAUGCAUUGUUAGAAAUGAAUGAAUGAAUGAAUGAAUGAAUGAAGAGAUUGAGAUUUCUCAGUAAACUUCAGAAGGCACUGGAUUUCCAAGAAGAAUAAAAAUCCAAUUUCUCUGGGACUUUUGGCUUUUACAGUGUUCUUCUUCCUGUCUUGUUCACCAAGGAGUCUUUGGGGUCUGGGGGAUCUUGAUUAUUUCACCUGAAGCUUCUCUCCAGGGACCCUUCUCCCUUCAUUCCCACACAUCACUCACAGACCUCCUUCUUUCUUCCUCAAGCCCAUCAGUUACUAUUAAGGGCUUGAUAAAUGUAGGGCAUAGGAGAAGGGAGCAAAAAAAGGACUUGUUUUUCUCUUAAGAGAAAUAUCUAUGCUUACCCUCCCUUGCUGGAGCAACAGGAAACACCUGAAGAUUGCUGACCAAGCAUUGUGCAAGCAGGCCAACCCAAACCUGAAACCCAGAGAGCACUUACCAAGAAAGGAAGUACUGAUGGAGCACACAGAAGAGUGAGUCGACAUCCAGGGGCAGUCUGGAAGACUUCCUAGAGGUUUUUUAAAAGCUCUCCCAGGAGAUUCCAAUGUGCCGCCAAAUUUGAGAGCCUUUCUUGAAGAUCCUCAUGGAUCCGGCCUGGGAGAUGAAUGAAAUCAAACCAAGUUUGAGGAGAACAUGUGAGGUCCUGCAGCCAGGGACUUGCUCCUGAGUUUGAAGGACAAGGCCAUGACCCCGAGAAGAAUCAUCUCUGCUGACCUCUAAAUCAGUCAAGAGCAUUGUGAAGUUAUGUCCACUCAUUCUACCAUCAGUUGGUACUCACUUCGUGCCUAUUUUGAAAACAAGUCAGUCCGUCUCUGCUUUCAAGGGUCUGGUUGGGGGAGAUGGGUCUAAAAUGCACAAGUGAACCCUACGUGACUUCUGAUAAGAUGUGGAGAGUCCAGGUGCCAUUGGGACAUCUAAUCUGGCCUCCUGUAUCCUUUCAAGUCAUCUUAAGGAGUCCACAGACUGGGGUGAAUGAAGUAUUUCUCUCUCAUCCCCCUCCUACAGAACAGCUUGGGGCAAAUCCUGUCACCAAGUAGAAACCAGUGCUGUAAGAACAUGGAGGAUGAUCAGGUGAGCUCUGACAUCCAGGAGGAUUCAUCACAGCAAACCUUGAAAGAUGGAUGAGAUUUUCAGAGGGUGAACGUGGAAGAAGGGGAAAGCAUUUCGCUCCUCACCUAUUUUGCUGGACUUUCUCCCAUCUCUCUCUCUUUUUUAAAAGUCCAUGGAUCAAAACUGAGAUGCCAGCUCCCAGUUAGGACAAGCCCAGUGUGGAGGACAGAGCUGGGGAUUGCUUCUUGGCCUUUGCGUGGCCCACGUCUACUAAUGCUCCUGGCGGCACACUGCCUUCCCCGCAUCAGGGCACGUGUGCAGCUGUGAUCAGUGAAAAGCCGCUCCAACCACCACCCUCAUCUCCAAACAAUAAAGCUUCAUUGGUGAAGGCAUUUGAGAAUUACAGUGGCUUGUUAAUCUCACGUCAGUCAUCCCUAUCUUAUUGAAUUUAAGAAGAAGGGAAACUCAACACUGCUCAAGAGCAGUCCCUCUAAAUAUAAAUGUUUACCUCAAGGCAUUGCACUUCUUUCAAAACACUCUCUUCCCAUUCCUGUCCUUGCCAUUUCACUCCCUGUCCACCUCAUGGGAGUUCACCCCCUCUCACUUCCUGCCCAACCCAAGCCUGGUAUGGACAUUUUCUAUAACUAAAUUAGUCUUUAGAUGUCUCUAGCUGUAUUUGUUUUCUUCUCCUACCUUUUUUCUUUUCCUUUCCUACUCUUUCAUGUCAGACUUAAUUAAUCAAUAAACUUUUAUUGAGCAUUUCCUAAGUGCUGGGUUCAAUCAGGGAAUAUAUAGACAAACCCAGGGGCUAGUCCUGGUCCUGAAGCCCUUAUGAUCUAACUGAUGAGACGAGGACAAACGGAGGUAGGUAAAGAUCAUGUGGCGUUAGCUGGCAUGGUGGUGUUGGUAUAAACCAAGGGCUUGGGUGGUUAGGGCUUCACACUUCAAGGAGGGGAGACUUCCACACGGGGCGGUGGAUAGAAUCUGGAACUACAGGGACUUUGUGACUGGCCAUAACUGAAGACUUGCGUGUACCAAGCAGUAUGCCAAGUAUUUUCUUCCCAGUCUCUCAUUUUAUCCUUAGCAACUCCAUGAAGGAGGCAUUUUUAUUAUUUCCGUUUUCCUGGUGAUUAAAUGAAAACUUCUGUGGAUGAGGCAGCCUUCCAAAAUCACAGAGCCAGGAAGGAGCUGAGUUGGGAGUCCAGCCCAGGCCUGUGGGACCCCAGACAUCAAGGUUUGGGUCACAUUGCUGCACAGUCUCUGGCCUCAGUUUCCUGUGUGUAAAACAGAAAAUAGCAAUUCUGCCUUCACAUGCUUGGUGGGAAGAUUACAUGAGAUGUAAUAAAGCUCCCACUGCAGUGCCUGGUGCCGUCGGUACCCAGUCAUCAGUGGCCAUCAUCAUCAUCAUUAUUGCAUUCUUAGUGUUAAAGUUUCACAGGGGAAGCAGGGGGAGGGCCUUGGACAUUAUUGAUUAAGCGGAAAGAGGUGGGCAUUCCAUGCAGCGAGGUGGGAAGAACAAAGACUCAGGUCCCAGAGGGUGUGGUGUUCUCAGGGACUCAGGACCCACCUGAUUUGGCUGAACCUGAGGCCUGGUUUGAGCUGAGGGGUGAGACAAAGCUGGGAAAUUGAGACUCUUGAGUGCAGGCUCAGGAGUUUGUUCUUGAUCCUGUGGACUAUGGGAAUGACAUUUCAAAGCAAUUGUGUGUGUGUGUUUUAACAUCCACUAAUGGUGAAAUUAUCUUAAAAUAGUCUUAUUUUUUGUUUUGAAUAGUAAUAUUUUAUAUAGAUCAAAAAUCAAAAUUCUAAAUAAAGAUACACAAUAACAUGUCUCGUUCUCCCCUUGUCCUGACCACUCCAUUCUAUAACCCCUACAGGUAACCGCUGAGAUUAAUUUCUUGUGUAUCCUUCCACUAUUUCGUGCAGAUAUGAACACAAAUAAAUGUAUAUUUUUAUUCCACUGACUUUUGUACUCAAAAGGUAGCAUACUAAAUAUGCUGUUUUCACUUUACCUUCUUUUCGCUUUAUAAUAUAUCCAGAGAUUUUUUCUGUAUCAAAACAUAGAGAAACUCUCAAUCUCUUUUUAUAGCAGUAGAGUAUUCCAUAUGUGGAUAUACCAUGGUUUAUUUUACCAACCCCCUAGUGAUGGACACUUGGGCUGUGUCCAAUCUUUCACUACUGCAGAUCAUUCUGCAGUGAAUGACCUUGUGUAUAUGUCAUUUUGAUACACUCAGGUGUAUCCACAGGGUAAAUCCAUUUGUGGUUUUGAAAACUAUUGCCAAAUUGCCCUCCAUGGGAGUCAAACCACUUUAACACUCCCAUGAACAAUUUACGGAUGAGAGUGCCUAUUUCUCCAGAUGCCAGAAAAUAAAGCGCGUAGUCAAACUUUUGAAUUUUUAUCAAAUUGAUAUGUGAAAAAAAUGAUGUUUCAGUGUAGUCUCAAAAUAUCUUCCUCUUUAUUAUGACUGAGGGAGCAUAUUUUUUCACCUUAAGGGAUAUUUGCAUUUCCUUGUCUGUGGACUGACUAUUCAUGGUCAUUUCUCAUUUUUCUAUUGUGUUGCUUACCUUUUGGUUUAUUGACUUCUUUCAGCUCUUUAUAUACGAAGGAGAUAAACCCUUUGUCUGAAUUAUUAGUUGCAAAUAUUUUUCCUAGUUUGUCAUUUGCAUACUUUAGGUUUCACCAUGCAAAAGUGUUUUUUUUGUUGAAUUUAUCAUUUUUUAUUGCUUUGGCAUUUUGAGUCAUAUAUAGAAAGAUAUUCUCCACUUUAUGAGAAUAAAACAUUCCCCCAUGAUUUCUUCUAGUAAUAAAGUUUCACUUUUUACAUUUGAAUCUUUAAGUUGGAGUUUACACUGGUGAAGGGUAUGAAGAAGGAUCCAACUUUAUCUUUUUUCAGAUGCCUACCCAGUGGUAUUAUACCAUUUCGUAAAAAGUCAGCCCCACCCCCAUCAUUGUGAGAUGUAUGUAAAUUACCUGUAAAUUCAUAUAUGUACUCAGGCUAUUUCUGGACUUUCUAUUCUAAUCCAUUGGUCUAUUUACUCAUGUUCCAGAACCACCACGCUGUUCUAAUUAUUGAGAUUUUACAGUGUGGCAUAAUAACUAGUGGGGCUUUUCUCCAUUCAUAAAACAAUGUGUUUAGAAUAUUCCGGGUGAACUAAGGGGAAGCUGACUGAGGUAGGCAGACCCACUUGAACGCUCUGCAAUAGUCCAAGGACUGAGUGGACCAGAAUGGGCAAAGAAACAGAAGCACCACCCCUCUAAAGGAAGAAUUGUCAAGGCUCAGUGAUGAAGUCUUAACAAGGAAGGAGGAAGGAGAAGUUAAAACGACUUGAAGGUUUUUGAUUUCCUGACUUCUGGAUGGCUCUGGGCCCUAGAAAGAAGCUUCGAAACAAAACUGCCUUCCCUACCAGAACUUUCUCCCAUCUCAACCUUUACCUCCAAAACUUGCCACUAUUUGUGGUUUUAUAAAAUAGUCCUGAAUUCACUGUUGCUUAAAUUUUAAUAUUUCCUAUUAAAAAUGUAAUACAAACAGGUUACUGAAAAUAUAGGAAACAGAAAAAAUUCACUCAUAAUAGAAUCUCCAAUACAACCA